rnacentral:lncRNA from 1 species
CGAGAGGAGCCUGUGAGCGCACACAGAAAUGAAUGCCAAUCCAUCACCACUACUGAACUGGCAAUUCCAAUGUCAUGCCCUCCUGAUGGUGGGUCAAUGGCUCUGGCCUCAAGGAUGAAGGAUGGCUCAUUCCUUCAUUUGGCAGAGCUCUCCCCUGACCUGGAACACUGAGGAUGAGUAAGCUCAUUGCAAGACUCAGAAGGCCUGGAUACCAAAAGCCUUACCACCACCCACACAGUUCAUUGCACAAUUUCCUUAUUUAUACAACUCCAGAACCCUCUGUCUUUUCCUCUGGAGCUGCAGUGUUUCACUAAUGCAACAGAAAACCUACUGUGCUUACAGCUACUGGUUGGAACAGCCCUGCCUAAUACAUGACACUCUCCUCAUCCAUUCCCCGUUGUGGCUAACUAAACCAGGGAUGGGCUCUCAGUCAAGACCAGCUGAUCCUGUGACCAGUGACCAGAUUCCCUCCUGAGAACUGGAAUUAAGAAAAAGAGACUGUUGUUGAUGGUUGGUUCUGAGCCUUGAAGCUUUAAGUUCAUGUAGACUCAGGGAUUGAAGAGGACGAUAUUGGGCCAUCUGCAAGGAAACGAGACCCGCUUGGAGAGAGAAAGAUGAAGAUGCUAAGAAAGGAUGAAGUGAUAAUAACGAUAAGAGAUGGUAAAGAAGGUGCAGAGACACCAUGAAAGAAAGAGACAGAAAGGAAAAAAAGAUCAGAGAGAAGAAAAGACUUCCCAGAGUGACUAAGACUCACCUUUGUGCCUCACAUUUCAAAUUCCUAUCUUCCGUCCCCAUGAGACACAUGUUUUACUCUGGCACCCAACUCAAAUAACAAGUACCAACUCUGCUCUCUAGAAGCUUAUAAUAUAGAAGAGAUACCCCUCAGAUGAGCUAUCAUAUACUGAAGAUUGAGGCAUUAAAUGCAGGACGAUAAAUACAGAUAAAACAUAAUAAUGCAUUAAAAAUAAUAUUCUAUUUUACUUGCUGCCCUUAGAAAGUGUGAGAUUUGCUCACAUUCUCUGGAUAAGCCUCUUUUACUUUCUUGAUCCAGCAUGAGAGAAUUUAUGUUCCAUGUAACGAAAAGAGCCUUGGCUACAAUAAGUCAAUUAAUGAGAGACGUUUUCUAAAGCUUGGCGGAACAGACUCAUCAGGAUUCUAGAUCCUUAGGGAGUAGGAUCAGAAUCCACAGUGACCCUAUUAAUUUGGAUGAGAAACUGGAAAAAUGGACACUGAAAGGUGGUGUUAAUAUGCAGGGGAAAUAAAAACAACCUUUCAAAAAAUAGCA